rnacentral:rRNA from 1 species
UACGUAGGGUGCGAGCGUUGUCCGGAAUUACUGGGCGUAAAGAGCUCGUAGGUGGUUUGUCGCGUUGUCCGUGAAAACUCACAACUCAAUUGUGGGCGUGCGGGCGAUACGGGCAGACUGGAGUACUGCAGGGGAGACUGGAAUUCCUGGUGUAGCGGUGGAAUGCGCAGAUAUCAAGCGGAACACCGGUGGCGAAGGCGGCCUUCUGGACAGUGACUGACGCUGAGACGCGAAAGCGUGGGGAGCGAACAGG